GGUGGAAGAAGAAGAAGAAGAAUCGGUAAUCCCUGUUGACUACUUCUGACGACGCCGACGAAGAAGAACAAGAAGAAGCACUCGCUCGCACUACUCGCACUCUCAGGACGAAGGACCAUGGCCGGACAACCGUUGUUAGUGGCACAGCAGAAGCCUUAUCCCGUACAGUUGGGCAAGGUUGCGUAUGUCUCUUUGUGGGAUGGUUGCUCCUGAUCGUUCCGCCGCCACGGAUGUCCCUAUCCCACAAUGUCACGACAGUGGCAGGGGGUGAGCAGGUCCCAUUUCGAGAAAACUACAGUUCAGUGGAAGAUUUCAACGCGUCCACUUUGAUCGCCGAGAUUCGCCUGGGCGGCGGACGAACUGUUGAAGACACUACGACUUCAUCGGUUGUUUUCCAGCGGAUACAGCGCACCGUGAACGACGAAGCCAAGACGAUACACGCUACUCCAUUGUAUUCCUAAUACAUACGUUAUGACCUGGA